rnacentral:rRNA from 1 species
GUUAAGCGACUAAGCGUACACGGUGGAUGCCCUGGCAGUCAGAGGCGAUGAAGGACGUGCUAAUCUGCGAUAAGCGUCGGUAAGGUGAUAUGAACCGUUAUAACCGGCGAUUUCCGAAUGGGGAAACCCAGUGUGAUUCGUCACACUAUCAUUAACUGAAUCCAUAGGUUAAUGAGGCGAACCGGGGGAACUGAAACAUCUAAGUACCCCGAGGAAAAGAAAUCAACCGAGAUUCCCCCAGUAGCGGCGAGCGAACGGGGAGGAGCCCAGAGCCUGAAUCAGUGUGUGUGUUAGUGGAAGCGUCUGGAAAGGCGCGCGAUACAGGGUGACAGCCCCGUACACAAAAAUGCACAUGCUGUGAGCUCGAUGAGUAGGGCGGGACACGUGGUAUCCUGUCUGAAUAUGGGGGGACCAUCCUCCAAGGCUAAAUACUCCUGACUGACCGAUAGUGAACCAGUACCGUGAGGGAAAGGCGAAAAGAACCCCGGCGAGGGGAGUGAAAAAGAACCUGAAACCGUGUACGUACAAGCAGUGGGAGCACGCUUAGGCGUGUGACUGCGUACCUUUUGUAUAAUGGGUCAGCGACUUAUAUUCUGUAGCAAGGUUAACCGAAUAGGGGAGCCGAAGGGAAACCGAGUCUUAACUGGGCGUUAAGUUGCAGGGUAUAGACCCGAAACCCGGUGAUCUAGCCAUGGGCAGGUUGAAGGUUGGGUAACACUAACUGGAGGACCGAACCGACUAAUGUUGAAAAAUUAGCGGAUGACUUGUGGCUGGGGGUGAAAGGCCAAUCAAACCGGGAGAUAGCUGGUUCUCCCCGAAAGCUAUUUAGGUAGCGCCUCGUGAAUUCAUCUCCGGGGGUAGAGCACUGUUUCGGCAAGGGGGUCAUCCCGACUUACCAACCCGAUGCAAACUGCGAAUACCGGAGAAUGUUAUCACGGGAGACACACGGCGGGUGCUAACGUCCGUCGUGAAGAGGGAAACAACCCAGACCGCCAGCUAAGGUCCCAAAGUCAUGGUUAAGUGGGAAACGAUGUGGGAAGGCCCAGACAGCCAGGAUGUUGGCUUAGAAGCAGCCAUCAUUUAAAGAAAGCGUAAUAGCUCACUGGUCGAGUCGGCCUGCGCGGAAGAUGUAACGGGGCUAAACCAUGCACCGAAGCUGCGGCAGCGACACUGUGUGUUGUUGGGUAGGGGAGCGUUCUGUAAGCCUGCGAAGGUGUGCUGUGAGGCAUGCUGGAGGUAUCAGAAGUGCGAAUGCUGACAUAAGUAACGAUAAAGCGGGUGAAAAGCCCGCUCGCCGGAAGACCAAGGGUUCCUGUCCAACGUUAAUCGGGGCAGGGUGAGUCGACCCCUAAGGCGAGGCCGAAAGGCGUAGUCGAUGGGAAACAGGUUAAUAUUCCUGUACUUGGUGUUACUGCGAAGGGGGGACGGAGAAGGCUAUGUUGGCCGGGCGACGGUUGUCCCGGUUUAAGCGUGUAGGCUGGUUUUCCAGGCAAAUCCGGAAAAUCAAGGCUGAGGCGUGAUGACGAGGCACUACGGUGCUGAAGCAACAAAUGCCCUGCUUCCAGGAAAAGCCUCUAAGCAUCAGGUAACAUCAAAUCGUACCCCAAACCGACACAGGUGGUCAGGUAGAGAAUACCAAGGCGCUUGAGAGAACUCGGGUGAAGGAACUAGGCAAAAUGGUGCCGUAACUUCGGGAGAAGGCACGCUGAUAUGUAGGUGAAGUCCCUCGCGGAUGGAGCUGAAAUCAGUCGAAGAUACCAGCUGGCUGCAACUGUUUAUUAAAAACACAGCACUGUGCAAACACGAAAGUGGACGUAUACGGUGUGACGCCUGCCCGGUGCCGGAAGGUUAAUUGAUGGGGUCAGCGCAAGCGAAGCUCUUGAUCGAAGCCCCGGUAAACGGCGGCCGUAACUAUAACGGUCCUAAGGUAGCGAAAUUCCUUGUCGGGUAAGUUCCGACCUGCACGAAUGGCGUAAUGAUGGCCAGGCUGUCUCCACCCGAGACUCAGUGAAAUUGAACUCGCUGUGAAGAUGCAGUGUACCCGCGGCAAGACGGAAAGACCCCGUGAACCUUUACUAUAGCUUGACACUGAACAUUGAGCCUUGAUGUGUAGGAUAGGUGGGAGGCUUUGAAGUGUGGACGCCAGUCUGCAUGGAGCCGACCUUGAAAUACCACCCUUUAAUGUUUGAUGUUCUAACGUUGACCUGUGAUCCGGGUUGCGGACAGUGUCUGGUGGGUAGUUUGACUGGGGCGGUCUCCUCCUAAAGAGUAACGGAGGAGCACGAAGGUUGGCUAAUCCUGGUCGGACAUCAGGAGGUUAGUGCAAUGGCAUAAGCCAGCUUGACUGCGAGCGUGACGGCGCGAGCAGGUGCGAAAGCAGGUCAUAGUGAUCCGGUGGUUCUGAAUGGAAGGGCCAUCGCUCAACGGAUAAAAGGUACUCCGGGGAUAACAGGCUGAUACCGCCCAAGAGUUCAUAUCGACGGCGGUGUUUGGCACCUCGAUGUCGGCUCAUCACAUCCUGGGGCUGAAGUAGGUCCCAAGGGUAUGGCUGUUCGCCAUUUAAAGUGGUACGCGAGCUGGGUUUAGAACGUCGUGAGACAGUUCGGUCCCUAUCUGCCGUGGGCGCUGGAGAACUGAGGGGGGCUGCUCCUAGUACGAGAGGACCGGAGUGGACGCAUCACUGGUGUU